UCCAACCUGUCCCAACACCUCCCAAACACUAUAUUCAUAUUCCUGAAUUUUUAAUUUGAUAUUUUAGCAUGUAAUCGAACCUUUUUUAGCAAAAUCAUUGCCAAGUUAAGGUAUGUCUUCCAUCAUAAUCAAGUUUUAGUUUAUUUGUGGAUGAAAUUUUGGAUGUGGCUUAGUACGUAGGGUAUUGACUAUUUUAAUUUUUAAUAUAAUUGAUAGAAAGGUGAUAUGUAGUCAAUAUAAAAAAAUGUGAUGACAAUUGAGUAGAAGGUAAUUGAAAUUUUAAACGGAUAUGAAAUUACUAAGUAGGAUAAAAAGGUUGAAUUGUUAUGGUUUAUUGUUGGUAUUAGAUAUAGAUAUUUGUUAUAGUAUGUGAUUGAGCAUAAAAUGAAAUAUAAUCUGAUAAGUAUUUAGAAUAAAUAUUAUGUUGUUGAGAUGAUCGAAAAUUAUGAGACGUAAGACUAUAUGCUUUGAAUUUUAUUAGAUCAAAUUAAUUAUGAAUAUAAGAUCAAAUAUUGAUUCGAUGCAUAACAUGAUGUGAAUCAUUGGAAAUUUUCUUAAGGACUCCAUAUAUAGAAAUGUAGAAUUAAAACUAGAAAAUAAAACUAGAUAAUGAAAUAGAACUAUAAAUAGAGUUUAUAGAAUAAAAUGGAGAUCAUGGGAUUAAUAGGAGUUGUAUAUGAUAAAGAAAUAAGUCAAGAGGCUCUCUGCAUUAGUUGGAAAGGGAGAUAGUAUAUGAAUAGUAAAUGAAACAUAUGAUAUUAAAUGGGUUAUACGUGGAUUAUAUGAAGAUAAUUGUUUGAAUUGAAUCAUAGUCGAUAAUUAAAUGGUAAUGGUAUUUUGUAAAUUGGAGUGCAUUUAAAUAUGGUUGUGUCCCAUGCUUGGUUCAUUUAGUGUGUAUAAUUGGUAUGACAUACUACUGUGGUGGUGCUACAUAAAAUAAAAAAACGUGAUGUUCCUCAUAGGGACUAUACGAUAUGGUGUGACUUUCGCCUUAUAUUGGCUAAAGCGCCUGUUGUUGGGCUAUAUGUGGCUUUCGCCCUAUACGGGCUAUAUGCGCCCGCUAUUGGGCUAUAUGGUAUGACCGGCUCUCGCCCUAUACGGGCUAUAUGCGCCCGCUAUUGGGCUAUAUGGUAUGACGCGGCUUUCGCCCUACACGGGCUAUAUGCGCCCGCUUUUGGGCUAUAUGGUAUGACCGGCUCUCGCCCUAUACGGGCUAUAUGCGCCCGCUAAUGGGCUAUAUGGUAUGACAUGGCUUUCGCCUUAUAAAGGCUGUAAGUGCUUGCUAUUGGACUAAAUGGUUGUUGUUGCGUACCUAUAUUUAUACUGAACAUGUUAAUCGAUUUUAUGUGACUUCAUUCUUGGAUAUAGGUGCAAUAUGUGUGACAAGCAAUGACUGUGGGAUAUGGUUGAGAAUUAUAUAUGUCGUGUGAGUCAAUGUCAUACUAUUCAAUCCAACUAGGGCUGAUCCAGACAUAUUUAUAAGUAAAUUUAUUAUGAUAUUUUUAUGAUUGGAAAUUGAUUUUUAAAUUACCACGAUUUAUAGUACCAGAACUGCAACGUUAUCUAUUUAAUUUGGUUGCCAAAUGAGUAGAGGGCGUUACAUUAGCAAUGAACAUCCUACAAAGAUAUGCGAGUGAAGUCAAUAAAUAUAGACUUUACCAAGCUAAGGCCAUUGUUGUAGAGCUCUUAAGAGGAUCAAUUGAAGAACAUUAUGGUUUACUCAAGAGUUACAUAGCUGAACUAAGAAGAGUUGAUAAAGAGGGAAGAUUUGAUUUGCUUUUGGAUAAUGGGGAUGCUUUCAAAGGACUGUACAUAGGCUUUAGUUCACUGGUGAAAGGCUUCAAGAUGAGUUGCAGGCCUUUGAUUGCACUUGAUGGUUGCUUCUUAAAGACUUUCUUGGGUUGAAUUUUAGUGAGUGUCGUUGGACAGGAUGGAAACAAUGAAAUAUAUCCGAUUGCUUGGGCUAUAGUUGAGGUAGAGAAUGAGCAAUGUUGGACAUGGUUUCUAAAGUGUAUCAUUGAAGAUCUUAAAAUUGCAAAUGGAGCGGGAUGGACAUUUAUUACUGAUCAACAAAAGGGGCUUACAAAUGCAGUCAAUACUUUAGCGCCGCUUGCUGAACACAGAAAUUGUGCGCGCCAUGUGUACAUGAAUUGGAAGAAGGCACACAAGGAACAUGAUCUAAAGAAACAAUAUUGGAAGGCAGUUAAGAGCACCUAUAUAGAGAAAUUCAAAUCACCCAUUCAAGAAAUUACGGUAGAGAGUCGAGAUGCUUAUGAAGACUUCAUUAGCAGGGAUACAAAGAAAUUUUGUAAGGCUUUCAUUUCCACCUCUGCAUGUAACGACGUGAUUACUAGUAACAUCGCAAAGUCAUUUAAUGUCUUUAUUGUUGAAGCUAGAGGCAAGCAUAUAAUUCACAUGUUUGAGGAAAUUAGGUGCACUCUAAUUACACAACAAGUAAACAUGUUACAUACCAUGCGAAAUGUGCAAGGAAGAAUUUGCCCCAAUAUUGUGAAAAUGAUUGAAAAGUUAAAGUUUGAUAGUCGAGAACACAAAGCACAUCCUGCAUUAGGUGGAAAAUUUGAGGUUCACUUUGAGGAUGAUAAGUUUGUUGUGAAUCUCAGGGAUCGUACAUGUACAUGUAGAGUUUGGGAUUUGACAGGAAUACCGUGUGUUCAUGGUGUAGCUUGUAUAAGGUUCAAAAAUGAAGAUGUAACUACCUUUGUCAAUGAUUAUUAUACAGUAAGCAGAUAUCUUGAGGGAUAUAGGGUGGGAUUAGAACCCAUUAGGGUCAGAGAAUGUGGCCCGAGGUAGAAGAAACCACUGUCAAGCCUCCAGUGAUAAGAAGAAUGCCUGGUCGACCCAAGAAAAAGAGAAGAAGAGCACAUGAGGAAAAAGAUCCUAAAUUUCCUAAAAAAAGAGGACAGGAGUGAAAACGACUUGCCAAAAAUGUCACCAACAAGGGUACAACAGUAGGGGAUGCAAGAACGAUCCAGUUGAAAAAACGCCUAAAGAAAAGGGUAAAAGGGGAAGGCUUGCAAAGAAAAUUCCACAACAAGAUAGCUUAGCAGGCUUGAGUUGAGGAACACGAAAAGAGCUUCCACAAGUGUCGAUCUCUGCAAAUGCUCGUCAAAUGAAGGAAAGGGCAUUAGCUAGGAAAGGAGUUGGAGUGAUUGGUUUUGAGGAGAGUGGAAACAUUUAUACGCGGAUGUCUUCUCACAACAAGGUAACGCAUGUGAACAAGGAGAUUCUAAGCACGUCAAGUUCUAGGAUUCGAAGCAAUGUCGUUAAAGUUCGUUCAACACAAGGGAGUCAGAACGCACCAACACCUGGGAACAAUGAUUGAAUACAACUUUUUAGGAAAAAGUUGUAGUCCUUUUUGUUAAUUUUUGGUGAUAUUUGUUUUGGGAAAUUGUAGAAUUUGGAUGGAAAAAUGAUGAACUUUUUAAGUGCCGUGGAAUGAUGGAGAAAUUUGAAUGAAAAAUGAUUAAUUGAUUUUA